AUUGAACGCUGGCGGCAGGCCUAACACAUGCACGUCGAACGAGUGGCGGACGGGUGUGUAAUGUCUGGGAAAAUGCCCGAUGGAGGGGGAGAAAUACUGGAAACGGUAGCUAUUACCGCAUCCCAUCGGAUAUGGCCAGAUGGGGUGAGCUUGUAGGUGAGGUAACGGGUCACCCAGGCGACGAUACCUAGCUGGUCUGAGAGGAUGAGCAGCCACACGGGAACUGAGAAACGGUCCAGCCUCCUACGGGAGGCAUCAGUGGUGAAUAUUGCACAAUGGGCGCAAGCCGGAGGCAGCCAUGCCGCGUGUAGGAAGAAGGCCUUCUGGUUGUAAAGGACUUUCAGCGGGGAUGCGUUACCCGCAGAAGAAGCACCGGCUAACUCCGUGCCAGCAGCCGCGGUAAUUC
rnacentral:rRNA from 1 species